rnacentral:tRNA from 1 species
GCCGGGCUAGCUCAAUCGGUAGAGCGUGCGGCUCUUACCAGCAGUUAAUAACUGCACUCAGGUUACCGCAAGGCUGCGGGUUCGACCCCCGCGUUCGGCU